UCCCAGGUGGCUCAGUGGUAAAGAACCUGCCUGUCAAGCAGGAGACAUGGGUUUGAUCCCUGGGUA
rnacentral:tRNA from 1 species